rnacentral:rRNA from 1 species
CCUACGGGAGGCAGCAGUGGGGAAUAUUGCGCAAUGGGCGAAAGCCUGACGCAGCGACGCCGCGUGGGGGAUGAAGGUCUUCGGAUCGUAAACCUCUGUCAGCAGGGAAGAAGGGUGACUGUGCUAAUCAGCAGUGAAUUGACGGUACCUGCAAAGGAAGCACCGGCUAACUCCGUGCCAGCAGCCGCGGUAAUACGGAGGGUGCGAGCGUUAAUCGGAAUGACUGGGCGUGAAGCGCACGUAGGCGGUAUGUCAAGUCAAGGGUGAAAUCCCCGCGCGCAACGUGGGAACUGCCUUUGAAACUGGCAAACUGGAGUUUGUGAGAGGAUAGUGGAAUUCCAGGUGUAGGAGUGAAAUCCGUAGAUAUCUGGAGGAACAUCAGUGGCGAAGGCGACUAUCUGGCACAUAACUGACGCUGAGGAGCGAAAGCGUGGGUAGCAAACAGGAUUAGAUACCCUUGUAGUC